AAAUAAAAUGCAUCAAAGACAAAUGGACAAAAACUCAUCCAUCAGUAGUAAAAAAGGAAACUUCAAGAAGCCUUCCAUCACUUCAGCUUCCCCCUUCAUUAUCGAUCGAAACUCCAAGAAUGUCGAUUCGAUCCGAUGAAUGGAGACACAAUCCAAGCACUUCCCCUGAUGGAUGACCUUCAAGUUCAGAAUCCAACAAGCUUGCAGAUUCACAAGAAGCUAAUACUUUGAUUUGGCUCUCACCAGGUAGUGAAAAAGAGAGAAUAAAGCUAGACACCGAAACAAAGGUGAAUUGGAUGACCACUUCUUUAUAAACUACUCAUGUUCUUUAGUUCUUUUCUCCCAACCUUACAUUCUUUUCAUCUUAUUGAUGCAUGAUUCCAUCAGGCAAAUUAUGUCAUUUAAUCUCUCUUUCUUGGGUGUGCAAUUGAUGUAUCUUAUUUAAUUUGUUGGUAAUCGACAUACCAAACUUCAAUUUAUACUUUGGAGUUAAUCUAGCAUUGAUCAAAUUAUGUUUUUUGUUCCUGCUUA